rnacentral:rRNA from 1 species
ACCCGCUGAACUUAAGCAUAUCAAUAAGCGGAGGAAAAGAAACCAACAGGGAUUGCCCUAGUAACGGCGAGUGAAGCGGCAACAGCUCAAAUUUGAAAUCUGGCUCCUUUGGGGUCCGAGUUGUAAUUUGUAGAGGGUGCUUUGGCGUUGGUUGUGGUCUAAGUUCCUUGGAACAGGACGUCACAGAGGGUGAGAAUCCCGUACGUGGCCGCCAGCCUUCGCCGUGUAAAGCCCCUUCGAUGAGUCGAGUUGUUUGGGAAUGCAGCUCUAAAUGGGAGGUAAAUUUCUUCUAAAGCUAAAUAUUUGCCAGAGACCGAUAGCGCACAAGUAGAGUGAUCGAAAGAUGAAAAGCACUUUGGAAAGAGAGUCAAAAAGCACGUGAAAUUGUUGAAAGGGAAGCGCUUGCAGCUAGACGUGCCUUGGGUUGAUCAGCCGGACUUUUGCCCGGUGCACUCUUCCCUUGGCAGGCCAGCAUCAGUUUGGGCGGCUGGAUAAAGGUCUGUUAAACGUGACUUCCUUCGGGGAGAGCUUAUAGGGCAGACGACAUGCAGCCAGCCUGAACUGAGGUCCGCGCAUCUGCUAGGAUGCUGGCAUAAUAGCUGU